rnacentral:piRNA from 1 species
UUUAAAGUCUUUUGAGGUGCAUCAAGCCAAG